GAGCGAACAGAUAAGGAGCUUGCUCCUUUGACGUUAGCGGCGGACGGGUGAGUAACACGUGGGUAACCUACCUAUAAGACUGGAAUAACUCCGGGAAACCGGGGCUAAUGCCGGAUAACAUAUAGAACCGCAUGGUUCUAUAGUGAAAGAUGGUUUUGCUAUCACUUAUAGAUGGACCCGCGCCGUAUUAGCUAGUUGGUAAGGUAAUGGCUUACCAAGGCGACGAUACGUAGCCGACCUGAGAGGGUGAUCGGCCACACUGGAACUGAGACACGGUCCAGACUCCUACGGGAGGCAGCAGUAGGGAAUCUUCCGCAAUGGGCGAAAGCCUGACGGAGCAACGCCGCGUGAGUGAUGAAGGGUUUCGGCUCGUAAAACUCUGUUAUUAGGGAAGAACAUAUGUGUAAGUAACUGUGCACAUCUUGACGGUACCUAAUCAGAAAGCCACGGCUAACUACGUGCCAGCAGCCGCGGUAAUACGUAGGUGGCAAGCGUUAUCCGGAAUUAUUGGGCGUAAAGCGCGCGUAGGCGGUUUCUUAAGUCUGAUGUGAAAGCCCACGGCUCAACCGUGGAGGGUCAUUGGAAACUGGGAAACUUGAGUGCAGAAGAGGAAAGUGGAAUUCCAUGUGUAGCGGUGAAAUGCGCAGAGAUAUGGAGGAACACCAGUGGCGAAGGCGACUUUCUGGUCUGUAACUGACGCUGAUGUGCGAAA
rnacentral:rRNA from 1 species